rnacentral:rRNA from 1 species
AUUGAACGCUGGCGGCAUGCCUUACACAUGCAAGUCGAGCGGCAGCGCGGGGGCAACCCUGGCGGCGAGCGGCGAACGGGUGAGUAAUACAUCGGAACGUGUCCAGUUGUGGGGGAUAACCAGUCGAAAGACUGGCUAGUACCGCAUACGAUCUACGGAUGAAAGCGGGGGAUCGCAAGACCUCGCGCUAUUGGAGCGGCCGAUGUCCGAUUAGCUAGUUGGCGGGGUAAAAGCCCACCAAGGCGACGAUCGGUAGCUGGUCUGAGAGGAUGAUCAGCCAAACUGGAACUGAGACACGGUCCAGACUCCUACGGGAGGCAGCAGUGGGGAAUUUUGGACAAUGGGGGCAACCCUGAUCCAGCCAUGCCGCGUGGGUGAAGAAGGCCUUCGGGAUGUAAAGCUCUUUCGGCGGGGACGAAACGGUUCGCGCUAACACCGCGGACUAAUGACGGUACUCGCAGAAGAAGCACCGGCUAACUACGUGCCAGCCGCCGCAGUAAUAC